GUCCCCAUCGUCUAGAGGCCUAGGACAUCGCCCUUUCACGGCGGUAACGGGGGUUCGAAUCCCCCUGGGGACGCCA
rnacentral:tRNA from 51 species